GAUGAACGCUGGCGGCGUGCCUAAUACAUGCAAGUCGAGCGAACAGACGAGGAGCUUGCUCCUCUGACGUUAGCGGCGGACGGGUGAGUAACACGUGGAUAACCUACCUAUAAGACUGGGAUAACUUCGGGAAACCGGAGCUAAUACCGGAUAAUAUAUUGAACCGCAUGGUUCAAUAGUGAAAGACGGUUUUGCUGUCACUUAUAGAUGGAUCCGCGCCGCAUUAGCUAGUUGGUAAGGUAACGGCUUACCAAGGCAACGAUGCGUAGCCGACCUGAGAGGGUGAUCGGCCACACUGGAACUGAGACAAGGUCCAGACUCCUAAGGGAGGCAGCAGUAGGGAAUCUUCCGCAAUGGGCGAAAGCCUGACGGAGCAAAGCCGCGUGAGUGAUGAAGGUCUUCGGAUCGUAAAACUCUGUUAUUAGGGAAGAACAAAUGUGUAAGUAACUAUGCACGUCUUGACGGUACCUAAUCAGAAAGCCACGGCUAACUACGUG
rnacentral:rRNA from 1 species